rnacentral:rRNA from 1 species
AUCCGCCGCUGCCGGCGCGUCUAAGCAUGCAGUCGAACGGUAGCAGGGCUUCGGCCCUGUGAGAGUGGCGAACGGGUGAGUAACACGUAGGUAAUGUGCCCUGAAGUUGGGAAUAGCUCAUGGAAACAUGGGGUAAUACCGAAUAUUCUCUGCGGUUUUUUGCAGCAGAGGAAAGAGGCUUUCGGGCCUCGCUUUGGGAUCAGCCUGCGGCUUAUUAGCUUGUUGGUGGGGUAACGGCUCACCAAGGUGAUGAUAAGUAGCCGGCCUGAGAGGGUGAUCGGCCACAUUGGGACUGAGAUACGGCCCAGACUCCUACGGGAGGCAGCAGCUAAGAAUCUUCCGCAAUGGGCGCAAGCCUGACGGAGCGACGCCGCGUGCAUGAUGAAGGCAGAGAUGUUGUAAAGUGCUUUAUGGGUGAGGAAUAACGAAGGCAGGAAAUGGCCUUUGGAUGACGUGAACCCAUGAAUAAGCUCCGGCUAAUUACGUGCCAGCAGCCGCGGUAAUACGUAAGGAGCGAGCGUUGUUCGGAAUUAUUGGGCGUAAAGUGCGUGCAGGCUGUCUGUUAAGUCUGAUGUAAAAUCAUGCAGCUCAACUGCAUUGUCGCGUUGGAAACUGGCAGGCUCGAAUUCGAGAGAGGAAAUUGGAAUUCCUGGUGUAGGGGUGGAAUCUGUUGAUAUCAGGAAGAAC